rnacentral:tRNA from 1 species
GCGGGGUAUAGUUUAGUGGUAAAN